rnacentral:rRNA from 1 species
GCGCGUAGGCGGAUUAUCAAGUCUCUUGUGAAAUCUAAUGGCUUAACCAUUAAACUGCUUGGGAAACUGAUAGUCUAGAGUGAGGGAGAGGCAGAUGGAAUUGGUGGUGUAGGGGUAAAAUCCGUAGAUAUCACCAAGAAUACCCAUUGCGAAGGCGAUCUGCUGGAACUCAACUGACGCUAAGGCGCGAAAGCGUGGGGAGCAAACAGGAUUAGAUACCCUGGUAGUCCACGCCCUAAACGAUGUACACUAGUUGUUGGGGUGCUAGUCAUCUCAGUAAUGCAGCUAACGCAUUAAGUGUACCGCCUGGGGAGUACGGUCGCAAGAUUAAAACUCAAAGGAAUAGACGGGGACCCGCACAAGCGGUGGAGCAUGUGGUUUAAUUCGAAGAUACGCGAAGAACCUUACCUGGGCUUGAUAUCCUAAGAACCUUAUAGAGAUAUGAGGGUGCUAGCUUGCUAGAACUUAGAGACAGGUGCUGCACGGCUGUCGUCAGCUCGUGUCGUGAGAUGUUGGGUUAAGUCCCGCAACGAGCGCAACCCACGUAUUUAGUUGCUAACGGUUCGGCCGAGCACUCUAAAUAGACUGCCUUCGUAAGGAGGAGGAAGGUGUGGACGACGUCAAGUCAUCAUGGCCCUUAUGCCCAGGGCGACACACGUGCUACAAUGGCAUAUACAAUGAGACGCAAUACCGCGAGGUGGAGCAAAUCUAUAAAAUAUGUCCCAGUUCGGAUUGUUCUCUGCAACUCGAGAGCAUGAAGCCGGAAUCGCUAGUAAUCGU